UGUUCAGGUGGCUGAGUGGUUAUAGCUUCUGCAUCGGAUGCGGUAUUUCGCGGGUUCGAACCCCGGCCGAGCCA